rnacentral:lncRNA from 1 species
AAUGUUUCUCUCCUCACUGGGAAAAGCUCCUUUGGUCUCAGUGAACUCAGAGGUGGAGAAAGUCAUAAGAAUCAGGGAGCCUGCCCCAAAUUGCCUCCUAUGAUAACUUUCCACAAAGACUGGAGGGGAGGCUUCAAACAUCUUCCUGCAGUGUCCAGCAAGACAGCGAGGCAGACUCCCUUUCUCCUGCCAAAGCCACGUGGAGCCAGACAGAACCACAAGCAUACCUGUGGUGCUUGGAGGCCCAAGUAGAAACUUGAAUGCUCACGGCUGCAUUGGCAGCUUCUACUUGCCUGCCUGGAUCACCGUUCCUCAUGAGAACUUGGAAAAGCAGGACUAUCAUUCUUGCUUGACAGACGAAGAAACCAAGCCUCAGGACUGCGUGCAAUUCUACUUGGAGAUCUUCAUAACACCUUAAGGGAAAAAUCCUUUUUGAAAGAAAAACAAGUCUGGGUGGUGCUUGAAAAUUCAGAAGGCAGCUAGAAACUCUGCCAAUUACAACUGGUGAUUGCUGAGUUCUGGAGACAGACUGGGCUUCUGCUUUCUUUUGGUGGAGGUGUCUGCUUGCAGAAAAUUUAUGUUCUGGGAUUUACAACUUCAGGGAGACAAAGGAAACUCCAGCUCAUCUCCCACAUCAUUGAUUGAGAGGACCAUUUUCUGACUGUCUGCACACGUUUCCUAUACUACCCUUUAAUGCAACAAUGGGAUGAAGAGAUGAAGACUUCUAGCAGGCUACCUCAGAAAGGUUGCUGACCAAAGGCUGUAUGGACCAAAAAGUCAUAACACCACCCUGGAUGAAAGGACAUUUACCUAAGGAAUUACCCGCUCUCAAUUCUUCCCAGGUGCAUGUAGUAUAGAUUAAAUAAGGUGGUUGUAUGGCAACAGAGACAUUAUUAGAAACAUUCUUCUUGAAGUUUGACAACAAAGCAGUAGAUGUGUAUCUACUACAGAGUUGUUAGUGAAAAAAGGGAUGGGCAUUUGAAUUAUUUCCAGUUUUUGGCUAUUAUGAAAAAAACUGCUAUGAACAUUCAUACACAAGUGUGUGUGUGGACCCAUGUUUUCACUGAUCAAGGCCUAAAUACCUACGUGGUGCUUCGUGAACCCUGGAUGCUACAGUCUCUGGCCACAGCACUAAAUGUAUGCUGAGAUCUGGCUUCACGGUCGAGGGUGUUGCUGGUUUUCAAUGUGCCUGACAUAGGAUCAAUGGUGAAUGCACCAGAAGCCUCAUCAGUCAGAAAAUACUCAGUUUGCCCAUUCAGGCCUUCAUCCUUGUCCACAGCUGAAAGCACAAGAACCACUGUUCCCACUUCAGCAUCUUCUCUCACAGAGGACUGGUAAUAAAGUGUGGGAAAAGAAGGACUGUGGUCAUUGGCAUCCAAAACUCUAACUUGCAGGUGUAUUACAGAGCUCCUAGGUGGAUCUCCCAGGUCAGAGCACAGAAUGACAAGGGUAAAAUUGCUGAUUUGCUCCCGGUCCAAAGCACGAGUGGUUGAGAGUUCUCCUGACAUCUCAUUUAUAGUAAAGCACUCAUCAGUAUUUCCAUCUAUUAAAGAAAACAAUUACAAAUUCAUUUGAAUUGAAAAAGUAGCAGCUCUUUGCUAGCACUAUCUAUGGUAUUCAUUUAUACAUUCAUUAAAAAUAUAUUUAUUCCCGAUUAUAUUGUAUCCUAGCACUUUUGUAAAUAUUGGGGAUAUAACAGUAAGCAUGAUAAAGGCUCUGCCCUCAUGAAACUUCUAUUGAGGGGAUAAACAGAAUAAUAUGAUUCAAUGCCUAUCUUUAAUCAGUCAAUAAUUAGAACACUUGCUUUCACUAAUUUGCAGCCGUAUGAUUUUUUGUGUGCAUCUACAACUUUUAAUUUUAAUAUAUUUUUCCUCAUAAGAGGAUGAAGAUAUAUGUUUUAUUUAACACAAAACAAUAGAUGAGGAUAAAAAAAACAGAAUAUAAUGUCCUUUUUUAAGAUAUCAAUCAGAAAUGAACAGAUUUGAUUUGUAGUUAUUUUCUCAAAUAGUACCCACUACAGUAUUCAUGCCUGUUAUACUAUUGCAGUAAGCCUUCUCUUCUACAUGUCCACAGCAUUUUGUACAAGAAUCAUAACACUUUGGUUAGAGUUAGUUGGACACUUGACUAUUUCUUCCAAAACAUAAAUAAGGACAUUGUUCUAUUCAUCUAUUCCUUAAAAAAAAUCUGCCCUUUAUUAUAUUCCAUCGUAUCAAGUAGAAUAAAACUUAAAAUUGAACACAGGGACAAAAAGCUUUCAAAGACAUUUUUAAAUAACCCUGAAAAUUAGUGAAGAAAAAUGUGGUUCAUAUGCUUGCCAGCCAUAUUCUUGGAUGAAGAGCAGGCCCAAUAGUGUGGGAACUUACUAGAGUCUGCAUAUCAGAGGCAUAUGAGGACCAAGUGGAAUGGCAUUCAAAGGAAACAACAGCAAUAGGUAGCUUUAGGGAGGAGGAGAGGGCCCUGCAUUUGUAUUCAUGAGGAACAGUUAAUUUACACCAAAAGUAGAGAUGAUUGGACAAACCCACAUUUCUGUAGUAUUUGUGGCUGAUAAAGUGAUUCAGUCAUUCAGCAAACAUUUGAUGAGCAUCUACUAUGUGCCAAGUUUGUGCUCAAGAUCACAGAUAUGAAGGGAGUAAGACAUGACCUAGCUCCAAGAGUUCACAGUCUAAAAGGAAAGGCUGGUCAAUACUCGGGUAUUAAAGUACCAUGUGAAAAUCAUAUGUACAGAGUGCUAAAUGAGUACAUAUAGAUAGUGCUAGCCAAGGGGUGCUAUUUCUCUGAGAAGUACAGAGAAAGGGCACAUAGUCCUAUGUUAGUAAGUUCAAGAAAUGCUUAUUGGAAAAAGUGACAUCAAAUCUCACUCCUAAAGUGGAGAAAGCCAUACUACAAGUUUUGGGGAGAGUGUUCUAUGCAGAGGAAAGAGCCCGUGGGAAGUUCUAGGAAUAUAAGAAUUAACAGGCUGCAAAUGUUUGGGUGUGACUAGUACACAGGGUUCCUGGGUGUUUGUAUGUGGCAAGUAGGAAAAGGGCUGGCAGUAGCGGUAGAGGAAAGACAUGAAUUUGGGAGGUAAGCAGGGGGUCAAAUUGUGAAGGGCUCUCUGUAUACUGCUGAAGAUUCUAUAGUUUCUCCUGAAAUCCAUGAGGGAGCCCCCUGAAGGAUUUUGGACAGGAAAGUGUCAUGAAUCAAAUUUCUAUUUUAAGAAUAGUAUCGAGGCAGCAAUGUCAAAGUUUGUUUAGAAAAUAGGAUGGUUCCUGUAAUCCCAGAACUUUUGGAGACCAAGGCGGGAGGAUUGCUUGAGUCCAGGAAUUUGAGUCCAGCCUGGGCAACAUAGUGAGAC